GGAAAGUUGCAAAGUACUUUGAAGAGAGAGUUCAAGAGGACGUGAAACCGAUAGGAUGGAAGCAGAUGAAGUUGACGAACGAGUUUCGUAUUCAGAAUCGCUUACAGCGGUUUGUUUUUACGAACGAUGUGGGCUGGCGGCCUUGGUCAAUGCAACGCGUCUAGCGUCGAUGGUGACCCUGCGGAGGGAUAAUCGGUCGGCGUACGGUGCUUGGUAUGGCUAAGGUUUCGCCGGUCUUAAAGUCAGCGCCUCAUCUGACCCGUCUUGAAACACGGACCAAGGAGUGUAGCGUUUGCGCAAGUCUUAGAGUGUAUCGAAACUUUGAGGCGUAACGAAAGUAAAUGCAGUUUAAUCUGCUGACUUGGGAUGCGUUGUCUCUUGUGGACGGCGCUGGACCAAGGUUUUAUCGCGAUCGCUUGCGGUGCGGUGAAAAUAGAGCGUAAACGGUGCGACCCGAAA
rnacentral:rRNA from 1 species